CUGGUCUCCACAUGACCUCCACCGCUCGGGCUGCAGACAGACAGGUCACAGAUAUGGACAGUGAGAGCAGCGCUGUUCCUGCAGAGGACGGCUCGAUGCAGAGCGGUGAUCCCGUCUCUGGUCCUGAAGUCCAGGUGAGCUCCUCCACUGCGAAGAACUUUGAUCAGCUCACAGCUUUCCUCCAGCUGGACCGCCAGAGUCAGAGGACACUCUGAGACAAAGAGACAGAGACAGAACGUUUCACAGAGCAGAUUCCUGCAAAAAAUAAAUACACUUUCUCCUCA